CGCACCUACCGAUUGAAUGUUUCGGUGAAGAUUCCGGACUGGAACGUGGGCGCUUCACGGCGCUUGGGGGAAAGGAAGUUAUCUAAACCUCAACAUUUAGAGGAAGGUGAAGUCGUAACAAGGUUUCCGUAGGUGAACCUGCGGAAGGAUCAUUA
rnacentral:rRNA from 1 species